rnacentral:pre_miRNA from 14 species
ACCCUCUACUACCGUCCACCCGUACAUAUGUUUCCGUGCUUGACAUUGUGCUCAAUCACGUUACAAUAUAUGGGUCGCCGGUCUUAGGCGGUUCUU